AGCUUUUCGAAUCCGUGCUGAGAUUUCGUCAGAUAUCAAUCCAUUAGGGCUGAUCAAACUUCCAAGAUAAAUGAAAUU
rnacentral:pre_miRNA from 1 species